UUGGUUUCCUUAAACAACGCUGUUGUUUAUUGCAUGUGUCUAUAAAGAAUCAAUACAGUCGAAAGCAAUGGAGUCCAUUUUGUUUUAAAUGAUCAGCUCUUAGUAGAAGCACGAUAAGCCGGCGGACGUUUGGACAACGGAAGACACAGCGAGAACCGCCCGUUCAGCCAUUGGCCGCCACCUCAGGGCGCCGGUCAGCCAUUGGCCGACACUUCAGGACGCCCAGGUCAGCCAUUGGUCGAGACCUCAGGGCGAGCAAUAAAAACUUGGUUGAAAAGUUAUCCAAAGCUCGGCUCAGAACGCUCCGAGCCUCCUUAGCAAACACACACAGGGUCGACUCUCCGAGUCAAAUUGGCAGAAAGAAAUAUACAAAAAGCAAUAAAUUGGGUUUUAAGGUAUAACAAACAUUAUUAACAUAUAGAAUAUAUAUACAUUUUGGUACCUUUUUGUAAACUAACUUUCCAAAAGAUUUCAUAUUGCAUAGAUGCCAUUUGUGUUGUAACCAAGUAGCAAAAAUGAACUAUUAGUAUUAAUUAAAGAUUUAUAUUAAAAUUCUCAGAAUUACAGCAUUAGAAAAUGUCUUGUCUUGUAGUGGCAUCGAUCUCACAAGAAGCUUCAAUCAAGGCCAAAGCAUGUUCAAAAUAUAACUUAAUUUAGUGCUUUCGUUGUAUAAGGAAUUCACUCAAAACACAAAGUAUGUACAGUACAAACAACAUAAGUUAUUUUAACUUAAAUCUCUCAUCAGCGCUCCCCAUUUAGUUGAAAUACCUCUUUAUUUAUUACACUAUGUACACUACUAUUAACCUGGACAUCGUUACUCAAACCAGGGGAGUCCUGUGCUAUGGAACGCUGCUGUGUCUCCGGGUGUUGGGCCAGUCGCUAGAUGUGUGGUCGAUGUUUUUGUUGGUGGGGGUGUAUGGGCAGGAGGGGGGUAUGUAGACCCCCCCCGAAGGCUCGUAACACAGCAUGUACUACAUUCAAAGUGUCUUGUGUUACAAUCGGGGAGUUGUGUGUGCGAGCCCAUGAGUUAGCUCCUGUAGCCGCCGCCGCUACACUGUGGAAGGCUCAAACCACCAGGCAUCGUUCGGUGUGUGUCUGUGUGCGUCCCACCAGUGGUGUGUGUAGGCAUCGUUCGGUGUGUGUCUGUGUGCGUCCCAUCAGUGGUGUGUGUAGGCAUCGUUCGGUGUGUGUCUGUGUGCGUCCCACCAGUGGUGUGUGUAGGCAUCGUUCGGUGUGUCUGUGUGCGCUCCACCUGUGGUGUGUCUGUCUUUGUGCGCUCCACCUGUGGUGUGUGUCUGUGUGCGCUCCACCUGUGGUGUGUGUGUCUGUGUGCGCUCCACCUGUGGUGUGUGUCUGUGUGCGCUCCACCUGUGGUGUGUGUGUCUGUGUGCGCUCCACCUGUGGUGUGUGUGUCUUUGUGCGCUCCACCUGUGGUGUGUGUGUCUGUCUGUGUGCGCUCCACCUGUGGUGUGUGUGUCUGUGUGCGCUCCACCUGUGGUGUGUCUGUCUGUCUGCGCUCAACCUGUGGUGUGUGUGUCUGUGUGCGUUCCACCAGUGGCCUGUGUCUGUGUGCGUCCCACCAGUAUUGUGUGUCUGUCUGUGUGCGCUCCACCUGUGUGGCGUGUGUCUGUGUGCGUCCCACCAGUAGUGUGAGUCUGUCUGUGUGCGCUCCACCUGUGUCUGUGUGCGCUCCACCUGUGGUGUGUGUGUCUGUGUGUGUUGACCUGUCUUUCUUCUGAGUCCAGAGCGGGAGCCAUCAGGCCAGCAGGGCUGAGGCUCCCGCUUCCUGUGGGACCUCGUCUACUUUGGACUCUGCGGGUUAGGGGGGCUCUAAAGUGUUGUCUGGCCUGGGUCCUGGGCCGGGUCCUGGGCCGGGUCCUGGGCCGGGUCCUGGGCCGGGUCCUGGGUCGGAUCGCUCGGCAGAAUGGGCGUGUGCGUGACACACAGAGGUACGGACGCCGUUCGUUACCGGGUGAGCGGGAGUGAGAGGAGAUGGUUAAAGGGGGGGAAUAAACGACCAGAGGACCAGGUACCAGGUGGGUCUAGGUCCUGGUCUAGUACCUGGUGGGUCUAGGUCCUGGUCUAGGUCCUGGUGGGUCUAGGUCCAGGUCUAGUACCUGGUGGGUCUAGGUCCUGGUCUAGUACCUGGUGGGUCUAGGUCCAGGUCUAGUACCUGGUGGGUCUAGGUCCUGGUCUAGGUCCUGGUCUAGUAACUGGUGGGUCUAGGUCCUGGUCUAGUACCUGGUGGGUCUAGGUCCUGGUCUAGUACCUGGUGGGUCUAGGUCCUGGUCUAGGUCCUGGUCUAGUACCUGCUGAGUCUAGGCCCAGGUCUAGUACCUGGUGGGUCUAGGUCCUGGUCUAGUACCUGCUGGGUCUAGGUCCUGGUCUAGUACCUGGUGGGUCUAGGUCCUGGUCUAGGUCCUGGUCUAGUAACUGGUGGGUCUAGGUCCUGGUCUAGUACCUGGUGGGUCUAAGUCCUGGUCUAGUACCUGGUGGGUCUAGGUCCUGGUCUAGGUUCUGGUCCCUCUAGAACCUGCUGGGUUUGCCAUGCAGCCUUCGAAGGGUGCAGACAACCUCUACAUCUCCCCUAGACUCUGGAGACAUUCUGGGUCUCCACGGCGAUGCCCGUCUUUGAUAUCCUGUGUGUUGAUAGGUCCGCCACCAGAAGCCCCUUCAGACAGCAAGGCUUUGGAGGCUGGGUUUAGAAAAACAUUCACCUUCGAAAAUAAAUAGAUAAUUUCCUGUGUGUCUCCGGCGGCCUGAGGUAGGGUCUGUACAACGGAUCCUUAAAUAUACUCUGGAAAUGCCACAUCAGUCCUCUAAGUACAAUCUCCGUACAUAGUCACACAAACUCUUACCUAGCGCACAAAUACAUGAUAAAUAAAUAAAUAGAUAUAUGUAAUCUGUUUGCGUGAAACGGCUCCAAUGUGGUUUGCACAAGUCGUUCGGGGGCGCUGUGUGUGUGUUUGUGUGCGUGUGUUUGUGUGUGUGUGCCCGGGAGUGAGUGUGUGCGAGCGUCGGCCUGUGUGGGCGUGUUUUGUGUGUGUGUGUGUAGCAUGUUCCCAGGUUUGGUUCACAGGGGUUAAAGGUCAAAAGUAUCUGGUUCAUGGGCUCACGCCAACCAGCAGAAAGUGUUUCUAAUAACAUAAUCAUAUUAAUAAUAAUAAUAUAUUGAAGAAUAAAUCUCUCUGUCUACAUCCACUGAUAAAUAGUCCUCUGAGUGACAGGUCACCAGGAGUCUUUAACCUCUUCUGAUAGGACAGCAGCAUGUCUUGGGGCCCGGGGGCGGGGCCUAGGGACCCACGUUGCCAUGGUGACCGCGGCCCUUUUGAGCCCUGAAGACGGGCUCAAAAGGUUCAUCUGCUGAGGCACAUGGUCCAGCUGUCGGCACGGCGACCUCGUCUCAACGUUGCGGAGCCAGCCCUCGAUGGGAGGUGGAGGAGGAGGAGGAGGAGGAGGAGGAGGAGGAGGAGGAGGGGGUGGUGGAGGAGGAGGAGGAGGGGGUGUGGGAUUGGAAUGGGCAUCAGGAGGUCUGCCCCCCAUCUCUGUUACCAAGUAAGGUAUAAGUAAGUCCUCUUCUGCAAAGCGGUCUGUGUGUGUGUGUGUGUGUAUGUGUCUGUUUGUGCGAGCGUGCGUGCCUGUGUGUGACAUUAUUUGUGUGUGUGUGCAUGUGUGUGUGUCUGUGUGCGUGCGUGUGUCUAUGUGAGUGAGAGUGUGUGCCUGUGUGUGCAGGUGCUCUCACUGCAGGGUUAAACAGAGUGGUAUGUAGCACUAUGCAGCUGAGCAGGACUGGCUCCAAUGACAACCCACUGCAGCAUCAACACUGCCUCCCUCUAUCGCUCUCCCUCUCUCGCUCUCCCUCUCUCUGCCUCUCUCU
ensembl:lncRNA